CUAUAAUCCAAAUAAUCUCUCCAGCCACCUUCUCUCCUCUUCCUUCAUCUCCACGAAAAAAAAUCCCAGCAACCUGCAAGUCUCACGGAACACCUCUCCCUCAAAACCUCACUUGUUCCAACGUCCCAAAAACUCAAGAUCUCUCUCCGAAAAUCUCCCUUCGUUCCCCAGAAGCUAGCCUCCUUCUUGCCCAGUCUGUUCUCGCUUGGCCCUUCGUGGGAUCCUCCUUUCGGCCUCAUCCUAUCCUGCAAGGGGAGUGGCCAACCGUUUACAGAGAAGAAGACGCGGGAUGAAGGAGAGAAUGCUCGGGAAAUGGAACGAUGCGGAUGUACAGUACUUCAACAAAUAUGGAGAAUUCCUGUACAGACCGGAAACGAAGAUCGCAUAAUGGGGAACGGGAUGGAGAUGGAUUUUUGAGCAAAACCCUAAAUUAUUCCCUAAAUUAUAGGGAAAAAUAGAAGAUGCAGACCCGGAUGGGGAUGCUCUUAGGUUAAGAA